AACGAACGCUGGCGGCAGGCCUAACACAUGCAAGUCGAACGCCGUAGCAAUACGGAGUGGCAGACGGGUGAGUAACGCGUGGGAACAUGCCCUUCGGUUCGGAAUAACUCAGGGAAACUUGAGCUAAUACCGGAUACGUCCAAGGCUUGCCUUGGAGAAAGAUUUAUCGCCGGAGGAUUGGCCCGCGUCUGAUUAGCUAGUUGGUGGGGUAAUGGCUCACCAAGGCGACGAUCAGUAGCUGGUCUGAGAGGAUGAUCAGCCACAUUGGGACUGAGACACGGCCCAAACUCCUACGGGAGGCAGCAGUGGGGGAUAUUGGACAAUGGGCGCAAGCCUGAUCCAGCCAUGCCGCGUGAGUGAUGAAGGCCCUAGGGUUGUAAAGCUCUUUUGCCCGGGAAGAUAAUGACGGUACCGGGAGAAUAAGCCCCGGCUAACUUCGUGCCAGCAGCCGCGGUAAGAC
rnacentral:rRNA from 1 species